GACGAACGCUGGCGGCGUGCUUAACACAUGCAAGUCGAACGGUAAGGCUCCAGCUUGCUGGGGUACACGAGUGGCGAACGGGUGAGUAACACGUGGGUGACCUGCCCUGCACUUCGGGAUAAGCCUGGGAAACUGGGUCUAAUACCGGAUAGGACCGCACCGUGAGGGUGUGGUGGAAAGUUUUUUCGGUGUGGGGUGGGCCCGCGGCCUAUCAGCUUGUUGGUGGGGUAAUGGCCUACCAAGGCGGCGACGGGUAGCCGGCCUGAGAGGGUGGACGGCCACAUUGGGACUGAGACACGGCCCAGACUCCUACGGGAGGCAGCAGUGGGGAAUAUUGCACAAUGGGCGGAAGCCUGAUGCAGCGACGCCGCGUGGGGGAUGACGGCCUUCGGGUUGUAAACUCCUUUCACCAUCGACGAAGGGUUUCUGACGGUAGAUGGAGAAGAAGCACCGGCUAACUACGUGCCAGCAGCCGCGGUAAUACGUAGGGUGCGAGCGUUGUCCGGAAUUACUGGGCGUAAAGAGCUCGUAGGUGGUUUGUCGCGUCGUCUGUGAAAUUCCGGGGCUUAACUCCGGGCGUGCAGGCGAUACGGGCAUAACUUGAGUACUGUAGGGGAGACUGGAAUUCCUGGUGUAGCGGUGAAAUGCGCAGAUAUCAGGAGGAACACCGGUGGCGAAGGCGGGUCUCUGGGCAGUAACUGACGCUGAGGAGCGAAAGCAUGGGGAGCGAACAGGAUUAGAUACCCUGGUAGUCCAUGCCGUAAACGGUGGGCGCUAGGUGUGGGUUUCCUUCCACGGGAUCCGUGCCGUAGCUAACGCAUUAAGCGCCCCGCCUGGGGAGUACGGCCGCAAGGCUAAAACUCAAAGGAAUUGACGGGGGCCCGCACAAGCGGCGGAGCAUGUGGAUUAAUUCGAUGCAACGCGAAGAACCUUACCUGGGCUUGACAUAUACAGGAUCGCGCCAGAGAUGGUGUUUCCCUUGUGGCUUGUAUACAGGUGGUGCAUGGUUGUCGUCAGCUCGUGUCGUGAGAUGUUGGGUUAAGUCCCGCAACGAGCGCAACCCUUGUCUUAUGUUGCCAGCACGUUGUGGUGGGGACUCGUAAGAAACUGCCGGGGUUAACUCGGAGGAAGGUGGGGAUGACGUCAAAUCAUCAUGCCCCUUAUGUCCAGGGCUUCACACAUGCUACAAUGGUCGGUACAGUGGGUUGCCAGUCCGUGAGGGCGAGCUAAUCCCGCAAAGCCGGUCUCAGUUCGGAUCGGGGUCUGCAACUCGACCCCGUGAAGUCGGAGUCGCUAGUAAUCGCAGAUCAGCAACGCUGCGGUGAAUACGUUCCCGGGCCU
rnacentral:rRNA from 1 species